rnacentral:lncRNA from 1 species
CAUACUGUUUCAGAAUAAAGCGUACCUGCUUUGCUUCUGUUCAUCCAACGUUAGCAGCAAAUUAACUCCUAGCAUGUCUAGUAACACCCCCAUUUGCCUUUCUUGACAAGCAUACAUGUUAGCAUAAAUUUUAAAAAGACGUUUUGUCAUCUUCGGCCAAAAUGGUUUACAUCGAAAAGGGUAAUUUGAGCGUAGAACAUAAACUUGAAUAAUUCACAAAGGUUCCAUCAGCAAACUGAUAUAAACUUAUUCUAACCAUUAGAAACAAAAAUGGGCAACUCCUUAGAUUACAGAUGCACUUGAUCCAAGUCUCAGAAUUACAGUUUGCUGAUCGUAAUAUCUCAAUUGAAGAGGUUGUCUGCAAUAAUAUUUUAAAUUAGACGAAGAGAGCUAAGAUGUCUAUCGAUCAAAAUGGAAGGAUCACGAGCGAUUACUUCUGUAAGCCGCCAAUUAUAGGCUUUUGGGACAAUCAGGCCAAUGAAACAAGAGUACAAAAACAGUGAUCAAUAUGAGCCUCAGAUGGACAGUUUUAAGUAUGUUCUAACAUAUGGUUCGCAUUGACGAAUUAGGGCAAGACAUGCAAAGUGCUCAUUACACACAGACGACUUAAAUGUAAGAAGAGAACGGAAGAGAAAAGCAGUUUCAAUCAAUCAAUUCCAGGCAAUGUUGAAUAAAAGAAAUCACGCGAGACGCCAACAACAGGAGUCGAACGGCAAACCUUAAGGGCGUCGUCGGCCCUGCCAGUUUCGACGAGUAAGGCGACGACGGCCCAGAAGUGAUCGUCAGGCCAAUCCCCAUCUCUGGUGAGGAGCCGGAGAGGGCCGGAGCCCUUGCUGCCGG